AGUUGUUCCUGGAGCUUAGAGAAGGCAUAUGGCGUAAGGACUGUGGCAGCAUGGGAUUCCAUAGGUGCCCCUGUUUUUAGGCAUAUGUUUUGGAGAUUCUGCUGCAUUGUUUGCUGUUCAGCAGCUUGAUCUUUAAAAUCUACAGCAACAGCAACUUGUUCCACAAAGUGUGCAAGCCGAGUCUGUGCGCUCAGAAAUCGUUG
rnacentral:misc_RNA from 1 species